AGUGAACGCUGGCGGUAGGCCUAACACAUGCAAGUCGAACGGCAGCACAGUAAGAGCUUGCUCUUACGGGUGGCGAGUGGCGGACGGGUGAGGAAUACAUCGGAAUCUACUUUUUCGUGGGGGAUAACGUAGGGAAACUUACGCUAAUACCGCAUACGACCUACGGGUGAAAGCAGGGGAUCUUCGGACCUUGCGCGAUUGAAUGAGCCGAUGUCGGAUUAGCUAGUUGGCGGGGUAAAGGCCCACCAAGGCGACGAUCCGUAGCUGGUCUGAGAGGAUGAUCAGCCACACUGGAACUGAGACACGGUCCAGACUCCUACGGGAGGCAGCAGUAGGGAAUAUUGGGCAAUGGGCGCAAGCCUGAUGCAGCCAUGCCGCGUGAGUGAAGAAGGCCUUCGGGUUGUAAAACCCUUUUAUUAGGGAAGAAAAUCCGCGUGUUUAAACCCCGCCAUUCUGACGGUACCCAAAGAGAAAGCACCGGCUAACUUCGUG
rnacentral:rRNA from 1 species